rnacentral:rRNA from 1 species
GAUGAACGCUGGCGGCGUGCCUAAUACAUGCAAGUCGAACGCUGACACAAGGAGCUUGCUCUUUUCGGGUUAGCGGCGGACGGGUGAGUAACGCGUAGAUAACCUGCCUGUUAGAGGGGGAUAACUACGGGAAACGAUAGCUAAUACCGCAUAAUAGUAGCUGCUGCAUGAUACAUACGUAAAAGGUGCCAUUGCAGCACUACCAAGUGGACCUCCGUUGUCUUAGCUAGUUGGUGAGGUAACGGCCCACCCAGGCGACGUUCAGUAGCCGCCCUGAGAGGGUGUUCGGCAACACUGGAACUGAGACACGGUCCAGACUCCUACGGGAGGAAGAGGUGGGGAAUAUUGGACAAUGGGCGAAGGCUUGACGCAGCAAGACGGGGUGGGUGAGGAAGGUCUUCGGUUCGAAAACUCCUUUUUUUGGGAAAGACGAGAGGGAGAGUAAAAAGUGCACGUUUUGACGGUACCUUAACAGAAAGCGACGGCUAACUACGUG